AUGAACGCUGGCGGCGUGCCUAAUCCAUGCCAGUCGAGCGAACAGACGAGGAGCUUGCUCCUCUGACGUUAGCGGCGGACGGGUGAGUAACACGUGGAUAACCUACCUAUAAGACUGGGGUAACUUCGGGAAACCGGAGCUAAUACCGGAUAAUAUAUUGAACCGCAUGGUUCAAUAGUGAAAGACGGUUUUGCUGUCACUUAUAGAUGGAUCCGCGCCGCAUUAGCUAGUUGGUAAGGUAACGGCUUACCAAGGCAACGAUGCGUAGCCGACCUGAGAGGGUGAUCGGCCACACUGGAACUGAGACACGGUCCAGACUCCUACGGGAGGCAGCAGUAGGGAAUCUUCCGCAAUGGGCGAAAGCCUGACGGAGCAACGCCGCGUGAGUGAUGAAGGUCUUCGGAUCGUAAAACUCUGUUAUUAGGGAAGAACAAAUGUGUAAGUAACUAUGCACGUCUUGACGGUACCUAAUCAGAAAGCCACGGCUAACUACGUG
rnacentral:rRNA from 1 species